AGCUGACUGUGGCUCACUCAGAUCAUGAACUCCUUAUUGCCAAAUUCAGACUUAAAUUGAAGAAAAUAGGGAAAACCACUAGAACAUUCAAAUAUGACCUAAAUCAAAUCCCUUACAAUUAUAUAAUAGAAGUAACAAAUAAAUUCAAGGGAUUAGAUCUGAUAGACAGAGUG